AUACUCAUGGUAAUCCUUCUGUUGGGCGUUGACACAAUGUUUACAUAUGCCAGCUUCACAGGUCAGAAACAGCUUAACAAGACCAGCAUGGAUGGAACUGGCACAUCAAGCAGCUCAUAAACUUCACAUGUAGCAAUCAAUUACAUAUGAAAUUUUGAAUCUUAAAUCGCAAAGCCAAUUUGCUUCAAAAAAAAUAGACAACUGAAAUUGGUAAAUCAU
rnacentral:misc_RNA from 1 species